UGUGAUUGAAAUCAUUCUGUCCCUUAAAUCUGUCAGUGUUUCUAUUCAUUCGCAUUUCAACUGUAGU